GGGGAAUUUUCCGCAAUGGGCGAAAGCCUGACGGAGCAAUACCGCGUGAGGGAGGAAGGCUCUUGGGUCGUAAACCUCUUUUCUCAGGGAAGAACACAAUGACGGUACCUGAGGAAUAAGCAUCGGCUAACUCCGUGCCAGCAGCCGCGGUAAUACGGAGGAUGCAAGCGUUAUCCGGAAUGAUUGGGCGUAAAGCGUCCGCAGGUGGCAAUGUAAGUCUGCUGUUAAAGAGUGAGGCUCAACCUCAUAAGAGCAGUGGAAACUACAUAGCUAGAGUACGUUCGGGGCAGAGGGAAUUCCUGGUGUAGCGGUGAAAUGCGUAGAGAUCAGGAAGAACACCGGUGGCGAAGGCGCUCUGCUAGGCCGUAACUGACACUGAGGGACGAAAGCUAGGGGAGCGAAUGGGAUUAGAUACCCCAGCAGUCCUAGCCGUAAACGAUGGAUACUAGGCGUGGCUUGUAUCGACCCGAGCCGUGCCGUAGCUAACGCGUUAAGUAUCCCGCCUGGGGAGUACGCCGGCAACGGUGAAACUCAAAGGAAUUGACGGGGGCCCGCACAAGCGGUGGAGUAUGUGGUUUAAUUCGAUGCAACGCGAAGAACCUUACCAAGGCUUGACAUGUCGCGAAUCCUGGUGAAAGCCGGGAGUGCCUUCGGGAGCGCGAACACAGGUGGUGCAUGGCUGUCGUCAGCUCGUGUCGUGAGAUGUUGGGUUAAGUCCCGCAACGAGCGCAACCCUCGUUUUUAGUUGCCAGCAUUAAGUUGGGCACUCUAGAGAGACUGCCGGUGACAAACCGGAGGAAGGUGGGGAUGACGUCAAGUCAGCAUGCCCCUUACGCCUUGGGCUACACACGUACUACAAUGCUCCGGACAGAGGGCAGCAAGCGGGCGAACGCAAGCAAAUCCCGUAAACCGGAGCUCAGUUCAGAUCGCAGGCUGCAACUCGCCUGCGUGAAGGAGGAAUCGCUAGUAAUUGCAGGUCAGCAUACUGCAGUGAAUUCGUUCCCGGGCCUUGUACACACCGCCCGUCACACCAUGGAAGCUGGUAGUGCCCGAAGUCAUUACUCCAACCUUUCGGGGAGGAGGAUGCCUAAGGCAGGACUGGUGACUGGGGUGAAGUCGUAACAAGGUAGCCGUACCGGAAGGUGUGGCUGGAUCACCUCCUUUUUAGGGAGACCUACACCCCUUAGAUAUCGAAAAGCAAACAGCUAUAUAGAUACUGAGUUGGUCUAACCUAGGUCGGUCGAGAUUGGAAUAAAGCUUUCAAAGUAUUAAUGGUUCAGAAUAUCAAACAAAAUUAAAAAAUAUUGAGAGUUCAGCAAUAUGGCUUAACUGAAGUCAGACUGCUGAGUUGUAUCUCAGCCAGAACCUUGAAAACUGCAUAGUAACGCGAAAAAAGCAGGCAGACACAGAGAAUCUUUACAGAUGUUUUUGUGAAUGCAAGUCAUAAAAAGACCAAAUGAAUUGAGUGGUCAAGCGAAUAAGGGCUAACGGUGGAUACCUAGGCACACAGAG
rnacentral:sRNA from 1 species